UACUAGCCCUGAUGGAAGCGGUGUCCUUUUUAUCCGCUUUUUUUGCGGAUGAAAAGAUAUAGCGGACAGCAGGAAAUAGU
rnacentral:sRNA from 1 species